AAAUUCUCAAACUCUUUUUCCACGAAACACAAAAACAUGAACAACAAACACCACUUUGAUGUAAAAAACGAUUGCUCCCGAACUACUAGGCACUCAUGAAAAUUAGGAAUGAUGAAAAAAUGCAAAACUAUAAAAAAUACCUUGACGAUUUGUUGUUUUCCAAACAUCAAUAAUUACUUGCAAUAACAAGUAAUAUGUGCCGCUACAUGAAAGAAAAUGUUCGCUACUUAGGACUGGUUUGACAAACGAAACAAUUAGUCAUAUUUGAGAAGCCAAUGGUUGGCCAUUGAAGCUGGGUGCACGCUGAUUUCACAUACGUAUUUAUAUUAACGAGAAAUAUUAAAAAUUGUAACAAACUGAUAUAAACUGUUCGAUAUUAACUGAUCCAGUCCAACUAAAUAAAGUACUUAUGAAGCUUUAAAAUAUUUCUCAUUUGGAUUUGGCACUGACAUAAAGAAAAAUUUAUUUAUAUUAAUACUACAGAAGAGCGGGAAAUUGAUAACAAAGAUUUUUUAAGUUAAACAUGAUAAUGUAAGAAAGCUCAUAACUACUAUUUCGUGCAAUUGUGAAAUAAAAUUUCUUUAUAAUUACUCUGCUUAUAUUUGCAUAUUACAAUAAGUCUGAAAUUAGUUAAAUAAAUCCAAGUGAUACACCCUGUGCUGGAGAAGUUUCAAUCUAAACUACUUUGACUUAAUUGUUGAUUUUCAUGAGGGCGUUUAGUUAGUUUUAACUUUAAGGUAC